AAAAAAUUCAAAGUCAAAUCCCUUCUCACCAAGUGGACAGACAGUGUGCAGUAAGCCUCAACUGGGCCUUCCUUAGAGGAUGCAGAGAUUUCUUUGGAAGGGAAGAACAAAGUCAAUGAAUGAAAAUUAUUUGCUCCUGUUUGUUUUACAAAACUAGCAAGGGAAUAGGGGAGCUGGGCUUUCAUUGCCAUUCUCAAAAAAGAAAAAAAAAAAAGAGAAUUCUCAGGGAAUGAGCAACAGCUCUCAACUGUGCCUCUUUUUCUUGCUUUUGCUAACAUCCACUGUAGCCUCUCCAGGGCUCUCUCUGUGCUUGGGGAGUAAUGCAUGAAAAUCCUUCUGCCUCCAGAAGAAAAUAUGGUCUUCUCUUCUUUGCCUGGUUUGAAGGAGACACUUUGAGAGCCUCACCCAAAUGGCUGGAUUCCUCAAAAUAAACCAAUGGAGCAAAACAGCAGUACCUGGAAAAGCUUGAGUGCUUGCGGCUGGGACAAAAUUUCAGACAGAUUCAGUUGAUGUACAACUGAAGAUACAGCCUUAAAACUGGAAGGAAAACCAUGGAAUGCAAAGGGACACAUUAGCAUGUAAAGCCUGGUGCCUGCUCAUCUGCAGAUGAAAGGUCACAAAGAAGAUAUUUGCAACGAGGAACAGCAAGUUGUGACCACUCUCCAGAUCUGUACCCGUCAGACAGAGGUUGACACCUGUGACAGGUACAUUCUGAUUUCCACAUGCCUUGUGCAAAAUCAGACGUGCUCACAACAGCAUGGCAGCCAAAUGUCAAGUACUUCACCUCUCAGCAUGGAGAC
rnacentral:lncRNA from 1 species